AUUGAACGCUGGCGGCGUGCUUAACACAUGCAAGCCGAACGCGAAAGGGACUUCGGUCCUGAGUAAAGUGGCGCACGGGUGAGUAACGCGUGGAUAAUCUGCCCUUAUGAUUGGAAUAACAGUUGGAAACGGCUGCUAAUACCGGAUACGCUCAAAAUGAACUUUUUGAGGAAAGAUGGCCUCUGCUUGCAUGCUAUCGCAUAAGGAUGAGUCCGCGUCCCAUUAGCUUGUUGGCGGGGUAACGGCCCACCAAGGCAACGAUGGGUAGCCGAUUUGAGAGGAUGAUCGGCCACACUGGAACUGAAACACGGGCCAGACUCCUACGGGAGGCAGCAGUGGGGAAUAUUGCGCAAUGGGCGAAAGCCUGACGCAGCGACGCCGCGUGAGGGAUGAAGGUUUUCGGAUCGUAGGCCUCUGUCAGAAGGGAAGAAACUACGUUGUGCUAAUCAGCAGCGUACUGACGGUACCUUCAAAGGAAGCACCGGCUAACUCCGUGCCAGCCGCCGCCGUAA
rnacentral:rRNA from 1 species